rnacentral:rRNA from 1 species
GGGGAAUCUUCCGCAAUGGGCGCAAGCCUGACGGAGCAAGACCGCGUGCGGGAAGGACGGCCUAUUGGUUGUAAACCGCUUUUGAUAGGGACGAAGCUCUGACGGUACCUAUAGAAUCAGCAUCGGCUAACCCCGUACCAGCCGCCGCGGUAAUACGGAGGAUGCAAGCGUUAUCCGGAAUUAUUGGGCGUAAAGCGUCCGUAGGUGGUUGUUCAAGUCUGCUGUUAAUGCGUGCGGCUUAACCGCAUACCAGCAGUGGAAACUGGGCGACUAGAGUGCGGUAGGGGUCAGGGGAAUUCCCAGUGUAGCGGUGAAAUGCGUAGAUAUUGGGAAGAACACCAGCGGCGAAAGCGCGUGACUGGACAUGAACUGACACUGACCCCCCACCCCUAGGGGAGCGAAUGGGAUUAGAUACCCCAGUAGUC